CCACUUCCUGAACGAUGAGUUUGUGAAACCAGAUGCCUUCCUGGCGUUCUCCGCAGGCACAACUAAUAAUAAAAAGCUUCUGACACCAGUUCUAUCAAUCACACCCUUGCAGUUGAAUGAGAGGAGGUGAGGGUAGACUAUCGAGAUGCAGCCUAAGGUUUGGUGUGCAACCUAACUAAGGUUCGAGAGGCUAUGGCCACAUUAGAAUGUGAGUCAGGAAUACUGUCAUCUUUAUUUCUAAAGAGAAACUGAGCUGCUCAGUUGGUCUACAGGUGUCUGAGGUUCUCGUGUGUGUGUGUGUACCGGGGAGCUGCUGGCACGCAUGGAUCUCUUCCUCAUCCUGGUCACUCUGCUGCGGUGACUCCACUUCCUGUGGCCAGAGGAUGCUGGGAAGCCAGACUGCCCAAACCCAACAGGGUAUUAGUCAGACAGAGGAAACCAGAGAGCCUGAUGGAGCCAGUGUUACCCUAAAAUAUGUCCCCACAUGAUUCUGGGGCUACCACAUCUCCAAUCUCUUUGCCAGAGCAAGAAAAACACAAACUC
ensembl:lncRNA